UAAGAAAUGGGCUUUGGACAGACAGACAGACUCCUGGGGCCUGCCAACCAUCAAAAUGUCCAAAGGGCCUCUUAUUCUCUGGCUGCUGGUUGAGCUUGGGCGGCUCUCUCUGAGUUCAGCUGCAGAAGAGACUGUGACAGCGUAUUUGGGUCAGACGGUGACUUUGCCCUGUAUAUACUCAUCCUGGUCUCACAACAGGAACAGCAUGUGCUGGGGGAAGGGUGAGUGUCCCAAAUCCAAAUGCAAUAAUGAGCUUCUCCACACCGAUGGGAGGCGGGUGCUGUCCAAGAGGUCACCAAAAUACGAACUUCUGGGCAUUAUCCGGAGAGGCCAUGUCUCCUUGACCAUCUUCAACACCAAUGAAGAUGACAGCAGUGUGUACUGCUGCCGCAUAGAGGUCCCUGGUUGGUUCAAUGACGUGAAGAAGAACAUUCGCCUGCGGUUGAUGAGAGCCCCAUCAACCAGGCGCUCCACAACACGUCUCCCAACCACCACCACUGCUCUGACAACAACCACAGCUGUGCUUCCAACAACAGCUAUGAUUACACCUGAGCUCACAACCAGAACGCCACUUCAGACAAGAACCACCACUGCCCUCACAACAGUGGCAACGACAUGCCCUCCAGCCACAUCAACAUUUCUUUCUGAAACCACCACAGUUCUUCCAACCAUUGAGCUUUCCACGGAGGGGACCAUCCUCACUGCAGAGUCAGAAACUUCCUUUCUCUCCAAAGACCCUGAGAGAAGCACUGAGGUGACUUCUGGAAGCACUGCCUUGCUGACAUCCAAAGAGUCUGAAGCCUGGUUUCUCCAGUCAACAUCCCAGGUCUCCAUGUGGGAAAUGAGUGACCCAGUGACUUUUCCUCAGACAGGAGCAAUGGAGACAGAAAUGCCUGUGCAAAAUGGAGUUGAAUCAGAACAGGUAAAAAUGAUCAACUCCGACUGGCUGAUGAUCAUUGCUCCCUCCCUGGGAUUCGUACUGUUGGCAUUGCUUGUGGCACUUUUCCUUCAAGCAAGCUUUGUUAACCUGGGCUCCACAGACAGACCUCAGCGGAAAAGGAUUCCCUUGGAAUCCCGUGCAAAGGUACUUGCAUGCUCCGAUCUGCACUUCUCAGGGGGUGGGACCCACAGUCAUAUUAGAUUCCCCACCUGUCUGUGACCUUACACCUCCCCACCCCACCACACACCUCUUCAAAAAAAUAGUUUUAACACACUGUAAAAAGGAGUCAUGGAACAGGGUUUAUAGUUGUCAUGCAAAGUAGAGGUAUGUGACAUCUGGUUCUGUUGUAAAAUGGGGGGAAAUUGUUCUGUAGUCAUUAACAGAAACUGUUUUGAGGUGGUAAAUGAGGAAAUAGAACUGCUAACCAUCUUGGCCCUUUCACGCAACAGUAGUGAAACUUGCAUGUUUCAAUACCUGUUCCGUGAACACGGACAAAGGAAAUUCUGAUCUCAGUAGGAAGCCUGCCAUUAGCCUUCCUGCAAAGCCCUUCGUAAAGGCAGAGGCCACUGGUCCUCAUACAGUUUUGGAAUUUGUGAGUAUGUCUCAUAAGGAAGUGUUUUAAAACUCAAGUGAGUGCUUCAGCUCUGCGUGGCCAAAGAUGUAAGAAUGAAGCAGCUUAACAUUAUUGCCAACAAUACGGGAACAGAUGCGUAACCGAUGGGCACUGCCUUGGGGCCCGAAGAAGUAAAAGGAAUGGCUUCGUUUGCCAAAACCAGCCCCUAAAUUCUCACCUUUGGCCCAACUCUGCUCUUGGGAAAGUCAUGAAAGCCAGUUGUUUCUCGAAACACACGAGGCUAGACAAUGUUGGAGAAUGUAAGAACAACUUUGGUGACAUGCGGCA